rnacentral:misc_RNA from 1 species
AGAGAAGCCCUUGAUGGAAAUGGAAUCGUGGCCCGAAGAAUAGUGAAUAAUCGUGACGCGACCACCCAUUUUUCUCUAUACUUCGGAAAGAGGAGAAAUCUGUGAAAGCCACUUGUACUUAAUGGUCUUACUUCAUACAAUGUGACUCGACCACCAAGAAGGAAUUAACGUCCACAAUUCUUUUUCUAGCUACAUUUGCUAAACAAAUAAAUGAAAACAGUAAUGAACAUUAUGGAAUUAACAACUUGCCGCAACCUAUUUUUGAAGCUAACACAAGUCAAGCUCGGCACACAAAUCAACGGUCAAGACUUUUAUCGUUUACACCUACCACUUAACUCAGAACACGUGUCCGUGAGAGUAUGGAGAAUGGCAGCAUGUACGCUUACUACUACAUUCAAAUGUCACGAAUCAUCUUUCAGCUGUUGCUAGAAGUAUAAGUAGACGAGAACACAAAGCGGAUUGGAUAUCGUCGAACGACUUAAAAUUUGACACCACAAUAAG